UACAGAGGGUGCGAGCGUUAAUCGGAAUUACUGGGCGUAAAGCGCGCGUAGGCGGCUUGUUAAGUCGGAUGUGAAAUCCCUGGGCUCAACCUAGGCAUUGCAUUCGAUACUGGCGAGCUAGAGUAUGGGAGAGGAAGGUAGAAUUCCAGGUGUAGCGGUGAAAUGCGUAGAGAUCUGGAGGAAUACCGAUGGCGAAGGCAGCCUUCUGGCCUAAUACUGACGCUGAGGUGCGAAAGCAUGGGGAGCAAACAGG
rnacentral:rRNA from 1 species